rnacentral:rRNA from 1 species
GACGGAGGAUGCAAGCGUUAUCCGGAAUUAUUGGGCGUAAAGCGUCCGCAGGUGGACAUACAAGUCUGCUGUCAAAGUGCAGAGCUUAACUCUGUAAAGGCGGUGGAAACUGUAGGUCUUGAGUAUGGUAGGGGUAGAGGGAAUUCCCGGUGUAGCGGUGAAAUGCGUAGAUAUCGGGAAGAACACCAGUGGCGAAAGCGCUCUACUGGGCCAUAACUGACACUGAGGGACGAAGGCUAGGGGAGCGAAAGGG